AGCUAGUCAAUGAACUUUUGCAAUCAUACAGCUUCUUUCAUAGCAUCGGAUGCCGUGAUAUAUACGACUUCACAAACAGAGUCUACCACAGUAUUCUGUUUAAAAUUUUUUCAGUAGAUUGCUCCAUCAUUUAGGAUAAAAAUAUAAUCUGACAUACUCUUACUAUCGUCAUGGUCAGACUAAAAGCUGGAGUCAGUGAACCCCUCAAGUUUUAAAUCAGUUUUACCACACACAAGCUACUGAUCCUUAGUAUU
rnacentral:lncRNA from 1 species